rnacentral:rRNA from 1 species
UGGGGAAUAUUGGACAAUGGGCGAAAGCCUGAUCCAGCAAUGCCGCGUGUGUGAAGAAGGUCUUCGGAUUGUAAAGCACUUUCGACGGGGACGAUGAUGACGGUACCCGUAGAAGAAGCCCCGGCUAACUACGUGCCAG